rnacentral:rRNA from 1 species
UACGUAGGUGGCAAGCGUUGUCCGGAAUUAUUGGGCGUAAAGCGCGUGUAGGCGGUUGCCCAAGUCGGGUGUGAAAGCCUUGAGCUCAACUCAAGAAAUGCACUCGGUACUGGGUGACUAGAGGACCGGAGAGGAUAGUGGAAUUCCCAGUGUAGUGGUGAAAUACGUAGAGAUUGGGAAGAACACCAGUGGCGAAGGCGGCUAUCUGGACGGUUUCUGACGCUAAGACGCGAAAGCGUGGGGAGCAAACAGG